CGGCGCGUCCCAGCGCCCCGCGACAUGGCGCGACAGUCGCCGGCAACAAGCGGCACGCAGGGAACCCGAGCGGCCGGCCCGGCAGCCUCCCCGCCACCCCAUCCUGCUCCCCCCGGCCUCCCUCACCGCCGGGACAGGUUUCCCUCCGGCUGGCCGGUGCUGCCAGGAGCCAUUCCUGGCCCCAGCUGCCCAAACGUGAUGGUCAAACACGGUUUAGAGAGGACCUCAAACUCCCUCACAUACUCUCCACGUGUGCUGUUUGUGGAGACUUCUCAAGGCAGUUCACAUAGAAAACAACCCAGCUCUUACCAGGCCCCUGAUACCCAACUAUCAAGUACUUUUUCAGUCUCAGGUUUCACUACAGAAACUUAAAUAAGCAAAAACUUGUAAACUCACAUCCUGCAGAUGGCCUAUUUUGUAAACUAGAAGCAUCUUUACACUGGUCCUUUUGAAACUAAAGUUUCUGAAAUGCAGCCAGCUCCUUUUAGCUCAUUUCCAGUUCUGCUUGUCCUGCAUUGAAUUAACUGAUACUUGCACAUCCCUUCUGCUCUGUCCCGGGAUGUACUGGGCAGCCAUGCACAGUCUGCCUGUGUUUGAGGCAAGAGGUAUCUGGUGAAAACUCCCUCCUGACUGGGCUAAUGUUACUUUUUGCAUCCAUUCUGAAGCAAGUUGGCUUUGGGUUUAUAUGAACCUGCCCAGAAAGAUGUGCACGGUGCCGACAGCAACUGCAGAAGGUGUUUGGGGUAUGUGUGUGCUACUUCUUAGCUAUGAGUGAGGGUUUGAUGCAAAACAUGAGCACUUCAGAUCCCCCUUCUCGUUUUGGAUCCAUUAUGCAUCAGGAUGUUUUCAUGAUGGCAUCAAAAUCUUGCACAUCUGUUUCUGUGUUUCUAAUCGUGUCAUCGCUGAAAACGUGUUUUAGUUUAAAACUUUAAAUGAAAUCUGUUCUCCUCCAGCAGUGCUUUCCAGUCCUCACUGUUUCUAGUGAGGCUGCUGAGGCAGUGUGAGCAGGAUGUGGCCUGGAGAAACACGGGGUUUUUUUGUUUGUUUGUUUUGUUUUUUUUCAGGGUCACUUUAUCAUGGUGUUUUCAGAAGCUCAUAAAAAUAGUAUAUGGCUAAAGUAAACUCACCAGGCUUCUCUCAUUAUUCCAAUGUAUUACUAACUUGCAACUUUAAAGUGAGGAAUACUGUUGACUAAUCAAAAUAUUUAUUAAAACUGUUAAUGCAUGGUGAUUCCA